rnacentral:rRNA from 1 species
CAGAGACUGCAAGCGUUAUUCGGAUUCACUGGGCGUAAAGGGUGCGCAGGCGGCCGGGUGUGUGAGGCGUGAAAGCCCGAUGCUUAACAUCGGAAUUGCACCUCAAACUACACGGCUAGAGCAUUGGAGAGGGUAGCGGAAUUCACGGUGUAGCAGUGAAAUGCGUAGAUAUCGUGAGGAACACCAGAGGCGAAGGCGGCUACCUGGACAAUUGCUGACGCUCAGGCACGAAAGCGUGGGGAGCAAAAGGGAUUAGAUACCCCUGUAGUCCACGCCCUAAACGGUGCACACUAGGUCUUGGCGGAUUCGACCCCACCAGGGCCCCAGCUAACGCAUUAAGUGUGCCGCCUGAGGACUACGGUCGCAAGACUA